GAUGAACGCUGGCGGCGUGCCUAAUACAUGCAAGUCGAGCGAACCACUUCGGUGGUGAGCGGCGAACGGGUGAGUAACACGUAGGUGAUCUGCCCAUCAGACGGGGACAACGAUUGGAAACGAUCGCUAAUACCAGAUAGGACGAAAGUUUAAAGGUGCUUCUGGCACCGCUGAUGGAUGAGCCUGCGGCGCAUUAGCUAGUUGGUAGGGUAAAGGCCUACCAAGGCGACGAUGCGUAGCCGACCUGAGAGGGUGAACGGCCACACUGGGACUGAGACACGGCCCGGACCCCUACGGGAGGCAGCAGUAGGGAAUCUUCGGCAAUGGGCGAAAGCCUGACCGAGCAACGCCGCGUGAAUGAUGAAGGCCUUCGGGUUGUAAAAUUCUGUUAUAAGGGAAGAACGACUUUAGUAGGAAAUGGCUAGAGUGUGACGGUACCUUAUGAGAAAGCCACGGCUAACUACGUGCCAGCCGCCGCGGUAA
rnacentral:rRNA from 1 species